GCGAAUGAGGCUGCGCGUGGCGCYGGYGUCGUCAGGCGUCCCGGCGGACACUCGGUGGCAGUUGUCAGACCCCUCCGGGGGGRAGCACUGCUGCGAGACUGUCCCGCUGGGACCGGCUGCAUUGAUGCCGGGGCUGGGUCAGCACCGGUUUCUAGCUGCGGGAGAAAUGUUUGGCUGGGUAGCUCGUYGWGGUGGUUCCUGCCUCGCCGAUGGCCCGCCGAAACUGCUGCCCGCCUGGAACCGAGGCGAGUUGGCAUCCCUUGCCCUUGCGGUGUGUGCCUGAAGGCUGGACGGCGUUGCGGCACUGCCGGGCCUCCCCUGGACUGCUUGCAGUGCCGGGGAUGUGCCUUGCCGGUGGUGCUGAAACGUGCGGUCACAAUGU
rnacentral:misc_RNA from 1 species